rnacentral:rRNA from 1 species
AUGGCAUACGUGACCUUUUUCACUAACCUCUGUCGGCGGAAGCCUAUGAAGAAUUUCGGCAGUCUGCUCAUGGUUAGCGGUGCAUGGAUCGACAUCUCAAGCAGGGGGGAGUUCAUACCCAGGACUCGCGACAGGGUUAGGUUCCCCAACCGCCGCCGCCUCUGGUCGCUGCCGCGGCCGCUGCUGCCGCCGUCCUUCCCGGCCGGCGCCGCCGCCUCAACGUGCUGCUGCUGCUCCUCUUCUCUGCUGCUGCUGCUGCUACUCUUCUUUAACGAGCUGCUGCUACUGCUCUUCAACGUGCGGCUGCUGCUGCUCUUCUCCUCCUGGUCAGCUGCUGCCAUCAAGCUGUGCCUCCUGCUGCUGCUGGUCUUCAACAAGCUGCUGCUGCUGCUCUGCUGGAAUGGCGCCCUCCACCACCACCGGGACUGGGUGCAGCACAUGAAGCUGCACAUGAGGGGCCAGCUGGUCUGCGAGCACCUCUCUGGUGCUCUGCCUUGUCCCCUGCUGCCCACUCCUCCAGCUGAGUUGGCCUUCCCUGUUGAUGCCGAUGAAACCAAGCAACGUGAGAUGCUAGAUACUUUUGAAGAGGCCACUGAAGAGUAUCAGAAUCAACUCCACUUAUACAAGCAAUGGACAAAUGAUGAUGCUCGAGCCUCUUCUAUCUUGGUGAACAGCAUGGAUGUUGAUCUCACCAUGGAUGUGGUGGCCCUUACCACUGCAGAUCAGAUGUGGGAGCACCUUCGCCAUCGCUAUGAGUCUACAGGGGAUGCCAUGUAUCUCUCUGUUGUUCGUCAAGAGCAACAACUACAACAGGGAGAUGCUACUGUGGAUGAUUUCUACAAGGAGAUGUCGGCGGUGUGGCGCCAAUUGGACUCUCUGGGAGCUGAUGUUUGUCGCAGAUGUCAGUGUUGUGUGCGGCAACAAGCUAAGUUGGAGGUUCGUCGCCUCUACGACUUCCUCACUCGCCUCCGGCCGGAGUUCGAGCAAAGUCGUGCUCAGCUAUUGGCACGCCAUCCUCGGCUCUCUACUCUGGAGGCCCUUGCUGAGGUGGGAUCUGAGGAGGUGCGCCUACGGAGCACGGGCUUAUUGCCAUCCUCUUCAGCAGUCCUGGCUGCUCGCGUUCCACCACCGCUGCCUAGUGUGCCCUCUUAUACACAGGUGGCAGCAACCUCCACUAGUGCUUUCUGCAACUACUGCAAGCAGGAUGGUCACAUGAUCACGGAGUGCAUCAAGAGGAGGAAACAGGGUCGCCGAGGUGGCCGUCCUCAAAAGGACUCGGGAGGCUCCUCUAAUUCUCGUGAGGGCUCCCUUGAGAAGGUUCACCAGGAGAUGCUCACCUUGCUGCGCCGCCUUACUGCUUCUGCACCAUCCUCAGGUUCUGCUGGUUCUGCUGGUCAGACGUCUGGUCCACCACCGCACUCUUCGUCAGGUCCACUCCUAGCCUUUCACCUGUGUAUGCUCAUGAGCUUCAGCUUACACAGGAUGAGGUUUCUAUUCCUGACUCUCCUACCCAGGUUGAGCCAUCCACUCUCUCUCCUUUUCCUUUUACCUACUCCCAUCGUGCUCAGCACCCUUCUCCCUCUGAUGCGCCACCUUCCACUUCCCCUCUCUCUCCGCUUCCUUUUGUCUACUCCCGUCGUGCUCAGCACCCUUCUCCCUCGGAUGCGCCCACUUCCACUUCCACUCCUUCCCUGUUGGGUCCCAUUCCUUCAGAACCACCUACCCCUCCUGCUCCUCGGUAUAAUCUGCGUGAUCGCCACACUCUCCAGCCUCCUGCGUACUAUGGAGGUGAAUAUCAGCGGCACAUUGGAGGCGAUCCGCGCAGCCAAGGCAAUGAUCAUGCACCGCGUCUCCAUGGCCAGCGGCAAGCUCACGAGGCUUAGGGUGGAGGGCAGAAGCGGCAAGGGUCUGCUUAGCAGGCUGGAUGAGGAGGAGGAUGCAGCCAUGAUGAUGCAUCGGCUGAAUCUGAGUGACGAGAGGGAUCUUGCAUGUUUUGCCUGGAUGAUGGAUGAGUUGGAUGAUCUGGAAUUCAACAAACCAAAGGUGUUUGAUACUAGAAUCUUAUCUCCCCCGAAUGCUGCCUUGCCUUGA